AGCAAAGUGAUGAGAUAUUUCGAUCUGAAACUAAUGUGGAUAAUACUUAUUGUCUUCAAAGUUCUCUGAUUGCU